GCCGGCGGGGAAGUUGCAACUGGUUGAGCAGCUCCGAAUGUGCGUGCUUAGGCUUUGGAUACUUGAUUUUUUCUUUCUUUUUUUUUUUUUUCCUUUUCUUCUAUUUAUUUUUUAUUUAUUAAUUUUUACUUACCGCAGCCUAAAAAAGCAUGCCUUGGGGCUUCUCCUCCCUACCACAGCCGGGCCGCCCCAGCACAAGCGCAGCCAAUCCCGGCGGGUUGCGAGACGGAGGGAGGAGGAGGAGGGCGAGGGGCAGCCACGCGGGGCCGCGGGCGCGGCAGGUGGGGGAUGGCCCGGGGGGCGGAGGACAGCCGACACCGCCCAGAAGCCGCGCAGCUCCGGCCCCGAGCCGGAGCGUGGCUCGAGCAUCGCUGUAAGAGCCCGCGGCCGCCCCCUCCCGAGCUCUUAGCCGUCCCCUAAAGUUUAUUUUUAGCCCCCGGAAAGCGCUAUAAAGGUCCCGCGGAGCGAGCGGGCCGGGAGACGUGGCACCGCGCUGCCUGCAGCCACUUCUCUGAACUGUUACCUUCAAAAUGAAGAGCAAGACAGAGGUGAGAACAAAGAAAGCCUUGGAAAAAUCCGGUCAUAACAUCUGAGGAAUAGAAAUAAAGGAAAUACUUAUACAGUCAGAGUUUGGAUGGAAUUUAUGAAAAGUUACAAAGGGCCCUAUUACAUUUGUAUCUAGAUUUGGGAAUUUUAAUUUUACACAUAAUAAAGAUACCAGUGCAUCUUUUCCUCUACUUUGGAUGAUAAUGCAUUCUGCUGUCCUUAGCCUUGCAAAACUUUCUUAUACCAACUAAUGUACGUUCAGCUUAAUUCUUUAGUUGUUAGACCUAAGACACCUUCUCACAUCAAGCUAGAGCAUGAAUAAUAAUAAACCAUUAAAAACCAUCCUCUCUGUUUGCUGGUCUAUAAAUAUAAAUAUUAGAUCCCUGAAUUUCUAUGUCCCCAGCAGAACAAGUGGGAUUUGAAUAAAAGGUAUAUGUAUAUGCGACCUUAUCACUGCCAAAUGCCAAAAGUACAUAAUAUAGAGCUUAUCUGGACUUCAGGCCUUCGGUGCUGUGUAGGUAGAGGUGAUUCUUGGCAUAACUCCUACCUUUGUAGAAUUAAAACAUCAUAAUUUUUAGAAGAGUUUUUAACCAAUUGUGUAGACAUCAUAAUUGGGCAGUAUUUCUGUGACACUGAUGUAGCACUAAGAGCCCUAAAUCAAAUUUUGUCCAUGAAAACAUACAAAACAGUCAGUGAGCACCAGGCAAUGGGGAGUACUAUGUGAAAAAGGACAGCAGCAAUGAAGUCUAAUCCCAGUGAUAUAUUCCUCUGUUGCCUACACACUCUGUUCUGUUGCCUGCUGAGAAAAACCAAUCUAGAUUGUGUUAUUUACAACUGAUCUUUUUAGGCUAGAACUGUUAAAACAGAAUGCCAAACAACUUGAAAGUUUCUGUAGAAAUACUGUUAGGCAGACAAAAGAGAAAAUAAAUUAAAGCUAAUGAUUAUUUAUCACUGAGAAACACACACACAAAAAAAAAGCCUUCUGAGUUUACUUUGCUGGUUUCAAGUACUAAAACGUCCACCUCAAAGUCUGUUCUUCUGUCUCAUUAGUCUUAAUUCAUGGCAGUGCAGAGCAAUAGAAGCGUAAGGAGGUGCUCAUUUCAUACUAGAUUUGAAAGGAAGCCCAACAAGCAGCUGUACAAAGUUGGUUUUUUUUUUGUUUGUUUGUUUGUUUGCUUUUUUGUUUUUUUGCAUCCUGGCACUUCUGGAUUUAGCAGCUGCUCUGCCUGUCUGCACUCGGGGUCAAACAUUUAAGAGUCAACUAAAUGUGAGGGAGGUUUCCCUACCAAGUGUCAUUCACAAGAGCAGAUGCUGCAGGCUGUGAAUUAGGGACAGGGAUAGUCUCACAUCAUCUACUGACUGCUAUUAAUAACCCUGUUUACAUCUGAUCCAUGCCCCAAAUCCUUCCCAUAUGGUACUCAAGUACCAAUUUCUUAUGUUUUCCAAAGGUCACCUAUCAUCAGCACCAAGAACAGACCACAGGUCCCCUGACACAGCACUACCACUGUGCAGAAUCUGUGUUGAGCUAAACUCUCUGCAGACAUGCCUUUAGCUUUUAUGCUGUGCUGUCGCAAAGCAGUGCUCAGAACAAAGGAAGCCCAUUUCCUAAGCAGUUGAAAACUUUGCUAGCAAAGUACAGUGCACUUGUUCAUUGCAGGCAGUCCAUUUAAAAAUGUACAGCUAUCUUCUAUGUUGUUCUUCCAUUUAAAUCUGCAUAAAUCAGCCUGCAUCGUAGCUUUGUCAGCUGGCUGAUAUUCAACAAUGAGAGGAAGUAGAAAGCGGCAGAAUUAAUAUCCACUGGCUGAAUGUAGUUCCAGUACCACCUAACACUAGAGUGUUUGACUAAUUGAUUGCCCUUAGCAUUCUGCUAACAACAGAUGUACGGUAUGAGUUAAAUUAGUAAAUUUGUAUUGCUCCUAUUGCUUUCCAUAGCCUGAAACAGUUGUAAUUAUUGAAAUUAUUUAAAUCAGAAACAUUGUAUUCAAAACGCUUUAAUUGAUUUUCUUUGUAUUUUUGUUAAUAAAAACUGCUCUAAUAAAAGUACCGCGGGGUAAUGAUUUGUAGAUUCGGCUGCACACUUGAAAACACGAAGGGGAUUGUGCUGAAGAGCAGAACACCUAUCAGAGCCAGCUCCAAGAACUCAGAAUCUGAUUCUCCACAAUCAGAGUUUCAGAAAAUAAGCCUCCUUCCAAAAGGAGUAUGUUCAGACAUACUGGCAAAGAGCAAAAGCUAUUGUUUCUUUGUAGCUACACCAGCUCCACUGAGAUUGCAAUUUUGUUUUGGUCUUUUUUUUCUACAUAAUGAAACUCGCAGUUCAUAAAAGAUCAGGUUAAGGUAAGGAAACUGAAAUUAGUGUUAACUGUGUUUCUAUCAUCAUGCUUUACAUAAUACCAGAAGAUAUCAAAAGGAGAUCAAAACUAUAAUGUCUACGCAUCCUGAAGUACCUCUUAUCUGUAAAGGACAUCCUCAUUCAGAGCAAACGGUGAGUGCACCAACCUAUUUAAACAAAAUACGAUUGGCCACUGUUACGUCCUUUAUCAGACAUAUGUUUGCAGAGACUUUAAAGGCCGGAAUUUUUGAAGUAGUACAAUUACUAUGCAUGACAAAACCAUAAAUGAAAUAUUUUGCAUAAAAAAUGUCAGCUGUGGACAGAUAGUCUAAUUAAAAAGACGAUAUGAAGCAGAGCAAGAAAUAAAUAGGAGCUAUAUUGCUAGUGCUAUCAUUGCUAUUCUGAUAAUCAAUUCCUUCUGAUACCAAAAAGAGUGUUAUUAACAGGACUCUGUCAACAAGUGGGGAAAAAAUCUUGUAUUAUCUCAACAAAAACAGGAGUCAAAAAAUAACAAUACAACCCAAAGCCUCCAUGCUUGCCAACAUACUCAACUUUUCUCAAAAAUGGGUCAUGUAUUAUGCUCAAAUGACACAGGAACUUGGACCACAAGAUGGGAACUAAUUCUGAAGUUAGGGACUAUUUCUGAAGAACAGUCUUCCCAAAGCCAUUCAUUUUGAUCACUUAGUAAAUGCAAUUGUUAAGCAGUUUCUUUGCUUUCUUCUUUUUGUUUUUUGUUUUUUUUUUCUGUUGUUGUUAAUUUCAUAAAUCAGUUGUCUGAAGUCAGAACAACAAAGCAAAUAUCUGCAUGUAUACCCAAAGUAUAAUGAAAAACAAAGACAAGUAGUUACGAUCUGUCGUCACCUUUAUUCUCCCUGAUUCUCCUUCUGAUUUGUAAUGCACCACUGUAAAACAGUGAGGUCACCAAAGCCAAGAUUUGCAUAUAGGAUACCCACAUUUAGAUAACCUUUUUAAAGGCGUGCGGUGUCAGUAAGUGAUCUCUCUUGAAGGAGCAAAGCACAGAACAGCUCCAAAACACAGACGGUCAAUUUUGCUGCCUUUUUGCUGGUUCAGGAAGUUCAGAAUAGGAGCUCAGGUUGGAUCAGUAUUCACUAUUUGUUUUCUCAACUAUUCAAAUUGUUAGGGUUUUUUGUUAGAGAGGGAAUAGAUGUGCUACCACUUGAGGCAAAAAGCACAUGAAUUGGAACGGUUUUUUGUAACCAUUUGCUUUCAAUCUGCUGCUGUGACCAAAAGAAAUGUGAACUGGCAGAGUGCUGCUGUUAAUAUAAUUCUAUUUUGCAACAGCUGAGGAAAUGACGAGAUUAAAAUAACUUCCAAAUACUUGCACUGAACAUUUAAUGGCUGGUGUUCCCAGGGUCAGCAGGCAUGGAGAUGAGAUGGGGAAUGUCUGGGCAUUCUUUACAGCAGAUUGCCAGGAAGAGCCUUCCAACUGACUAACUCAACAGGGUUUUUCUUCCUUGCUAGAUGCAGUAAGAGCAUCUAAAAACAUUUUGAAGUUUUGAUUAAGGGCAAAUAUUUGGCAGAGAUAGUUCUGACUUCUCUGGGAGUGAGAACAGGUUGUAUCACUUCUUAGUUGAUGCUAGCAAAAGUCUUUUAAGGAAAUGAAGUGCCUUCAUUUUCUUAAACACCAAUAGGACUUGCAAUUAGGGGGAAAUUAUAGGUACAGUAAAUAAACAGAGCUCAAAGCUCCCACUGUAUUCAGUGACAUCUUGAAGUACACCGCAUGUCUUAAAAAUGACACUGUGUGAGAAAGUACCUUCUAAGACUGAAGCAAUUACAUUCUGCUUGUAAUUCUUUAUGAAGAAACUGACAAAACAGAAUUCAAAUGCAUUUUUCAUAUAGCAGAUAUGACAGAAGAAAGCAGCAUGGAAAGACUUAAAGGGUGGCAAAAUACUCUUUGGAUUUGUUAGCUGAGAUGCUAAAAGCAAACCAGAAUUUGCUCAUCUCAUUUUAAAUGAUAUCUUUCCCUUCAGUUUUAGCAUUCAUAUCACUUAUUCAAAAAUACAGAUAAAUAACAUAUAGUCUAUGUUCAAUAACUAUGCUACAUCAGAAGUACAGUUGUUUGGGUUUUUGUUUUGUUUUGUUUUGUUUUUUAAUCUACUUAAGAGAACCACAGUACUGGUUACCACUGAGACUUCACUGUCAUCCAUAAAUAUCAUGCCCUAGGAAACAACAGAAGAGUUGAUGUCUCUGUGCCAUUUACUCAGUGGUUAGCACAACAGGACUCUGGUUUGGCUUGGAUCUAUCACCAGGUGUUACUGUUACAUAUAUAUAACAAAAAUGAUAACAGUCCUUCUGUUUGAUAGAAAGUUACACACUGUGAUAAUUUGGGAACACUGUUAAAGAUAAACUCUCCAAAUGUGAUGAGAAAAAACCACAGGCGUUCUGACAGUAAGGAUAUAUAGAGAGAUCUGAGAGUCCCACACCACCACCAGGAUCUAGGAAUGGAAUAUCUAAUUAAUCUAGCUAAAAUGUCCUUAAGGGUACAUUUGGCUGCUCAGAAAUUAACUACCUGACAAACAUAUGUCUUUUCUUGGUAUUUAGUUUCAACUUUGUCUUUCAACUCCCUUCCCCAUAGCUGAAAAUAAAGCGCUGAAGGAAUGAACAAGUCCUACUCAUUGGUUUGGGUUUUUCUUAGUAAGAUUAUAAAUGAAAACACAUUUGACUAAGUCCUGUGGAAAAUGUAAUUUGUUGUGUCACAGCAAUCGCUCAGCAUGUUUGCAGCUGGGUUUGAUGAUACCAGACCCUGCUUGUUAUAAGAUCAAUAGUAAUGGCCUCAAGGAAAGAAGGAUAGAUGAAGAAAGACUGAUGGCUUGCAGGCUCAAACUAGUUUGGGUCAUCAGGAGCUAAAAGGGAAAUGUUUUUUAACUUGCCAAUGAAUUACUCUCUCAAUACAAAGACCAAGGAGCAGAGGCCAAAUGCACUUCUCCUGCCUCAUUUCAAAAACUUUCAAUGUCUUUUAUCAAAGUCUUUUUGAUUACUACAGAAAGGGAAUGGGAAAAUAUUGUGCUAUGUAUAUAUAUAUAUAUAUAUAUAUGUAUAUAUAUAUAUAUAGCUUAAAACAUUCUGAAAAGAAUGAGAGAGUAAGUAGUAUUAAAUACAGUAUUUGCAAUGGAGCUUGCCAUAGGCCAUCUUUAAUUCCACCACUUAAAUGAAGCAGUACACCCCUUCUGACAAUCCAUCAAUGUCCCAUUUGUUUGUGUUAGUUCAGUUCAAGAUGAUCUAAUUAGAAAUGCUUUAUCUUGGAAAAAUCCAAGAGCCUUGCACAAGCACCUGGGCCAAAGCAGGAAAAUUUUUAUCCCUCCAAACACUCAUUACUGCCAACUUAAUGCUGGAAGUGUAGCAGAAGUAUUAUAGUUCCAAUGCAAACAAGGCUGAUUUACUUGAGGUCCCAUCGAGGUGUCAGCCGCUACUGCUGGACUGAGAGCUCUGACUGCGCCAUUGCUCCAAAAUCACUUUUCUCUAAACACUGAGUGAACAAGCAUGCAACAAACUGCAAGUAUUAAUUACAGAGCUCAAAACUGAAGAAGAAUCAUCAGUCUUUGCAAAUCUUCCCCAAUGGCUUCUCCUGAUUCUGCCCUAUAGCUGCAGGACGGGGCCGUAGGCUAAGCUCAGCUCAGCUCCACAGUAGAAAGCCAAGAACAAAAAAGGAAAAUCAAAAAUCCCUUGCAGUGUAUAUUCACUGGUGUGGGUAUUCACUUCGACUUAGUGUUUAGGGCUGAAGGAUUACUUGGUAAGAAGGAAAAAGAAAGAGGAACAGAGAUUAAAAGCAAGCAGAUAAAGAAAAGCUUCAAGAUACAAAAAUAGCAAAGGGUAAGGAGAAUGUGAAAAGACAAAAAUAUCAUUUUUUACUGCAGAAACACAAUAAUAAAAUCUUUUAUCAGUACCAUGAAAUCCACCUGUCCACUCCUCAGAAAUAUUCAGUUAGCCCAUCACUCAAGCUCUCAGAUUCUCUAGUGUAGAAUAGAGACAAGAUUUCAGGGCAAUAGACCAUCUAGUGCUGGUGCUCACCAGUAUCAAAUGCCUGAGGAAGAGUUUAACAAGUCAAACAUACAACUAGCCUCCGGUGAUUUGUGAUUUAUAGACGUCCAGUAAUAAAGGAUCUUACUAUGUUUAUACAGCCCUUGAUAGACCUUCAUUUACCUAAUUUAUUUAUUCACUGUUUUUGAGCAUCCACAGCAUCCUAGGGUAAAGAAUGUCCCAGUUGAAGUUGGUUUUGAAAACACACAUUUUGUUUUGAUCACAUUCCCCUUUACUCCCCACAGUAAUGGAGAGAGGCAUGGAAAGGAACAGGUGAGACCAGUCCACCAGUGCAUGUCUCCAAGACUGGUUGCCUCCACCGGAAUUUUGGAUUUUAUAAUCAUGGGAAAGUCUUUGAGACACAAGAUCUGCUGGGGGUUGUUGUAACCCAUCUUUCUCAAUUGGGAAGAUAUUUCUUGGCCUGUAACUUGGUGAGCCUGAUUGAGAGGGCUUUAAACUACAAUCAGCUUGGGUGGGGGGGAUACCAUUAGGAACACUGAGGUUGUGCCACGGGAUGAUGUAGACUGUUUGAGAGUGGCAAGGCUAAUGGGAUCAUUUGUGACACUUCAGGAAGUUCUACAGGUUCAGGAAUACAUCUGAAAUGUUUGAAUACUAACACACACAGCAUGAGAAAAAAAUGGGAUGAACUGGAAGCUUUGGUCCUUUCCCAGACCUCUGAUAUCAUUGGUAUCAGGUGCUGUUGACUCCCUGGAGGGUGUAGAGGCUUUUCAGAGUGACAGUGGAGUAUCAAGAAUCACCAACAGCCUGAAGUUCAACAAAGGAAAAUGAUGAGCUCUGCACCUGAGAUGGAGCAAUGUCAAACACAAGCACAGAUGGGAGACAAGUGACUGGAGUCAAGCUCAGCUUGAGCCAGCGGUGUGCCCUGGUAGCCAAGAGGGCAAACUGCAUUUUGGGAUGCAUUAAACGCAGCACAACCAGCCAGUCAAAACAGGUGAUCCUUCCUCUACACUUAGCAUUACUGCAGCCUUACUUCAAAUAUUGUGUACAGCUCCGGACUCCACAAUAUAAAAAGUGUAUCAAUAUAACUUCAAAGCAUCUAGAGAAGGGCAAGAAGACUUGUAAAAGAGUGGAAAGACAUGUCCUAUGAGGAGAGGCUGAGGGUACUUGGGCUGUCCAACCUGAAGAAGAAGUGGCCGAGAGGCAACCUCACAGCUCUUUGCAUCUCCCUGAGGAAGGGAAGCAGAGGGAUGUGCCCAACUCUUCUCCCUGGGAACCAACAGCAGGAUGUAUGUGAAUGGCACAAAGCUGCAUUAAGGGAGGUUCAGACUGAACAUUAGGAGAAAUUCCUUUAUCAUAUACUGGAGCAGGCUUCCUAGAGUAGUGAUUCAUGUUGAAUGCCUGUCAGUGUUAAAGAGAUGUUUGGACAAUGUCUUUAAUGAUGUUUUAACAUUUGGUUAGUCCUGAAGUGGUCGGACAGAUGGACUAGAAUACGUCGCAAGGUCUCUUCCAACUGAACAAUUCUAUCCUAUUCUGUUCUGUUCCUUCACUUGUCAUUGUAUCAUAAAACAAAGGGAAUUCUUUAUUUGCCUUCUCCAGAGGGCCUUCUCACAUGAUAGUUCAAAUCUCAAUUUUCUGUCUUCUCAUCCACUUCUUUCAAGCCAAAAACUGCAAACAGCUUUUUAGAUUCAGGUAUACUAUGGAUUUCUACCUUGCUAAUUACUAACAUUAAGUUUUAUUUUUGACCACCUCUGAGAAUCAAGAUGAUGUUUUCACAGAGCUGCCACUUGCAACUCCAAUAUCUUUUUGUUGAAUACCAAGAACUUGAGAAUCCACUUCUACUUGUGCAAAGUUAGGUUUGUUUUGUUCUAUGAGCAUCCCACUACACUUACAUAAGCAGAAUUUCAUUCUCACUCUUACUAUCCAUUCAUGCUAUCUUCCGAGGUCUUUCUGCAGAAUUUGUAGAUGUUCUUUAUCUUUGCCACCCACAGUAACUCAGUAUUAUCAGCAUGUGCCCAAAUACCUCUUGUUGUACAUGAAGAAUGACAGAUUGAUUUUCACCAGAUUGUAUUACACAGUUUAAAAAACAAAAAGAAACUGAGACAAAAUACAACAAAAUGUUGUGCCUAUUCCAUCUUGAGCUCUGAUCUUUGACUGAGUUUGGAAAAGAAAAAGAAAAAAGAAUUAUAAACAUUGUCAUGUUUACCACUUCAAUGCAGAGGAUUUUGAUUUCCAAACUAUCUUCUACUGCUUGGAUUAUUUCCUUGAUGAACAGCAUGACAAUUUAAGAGAUUAUCACCAAUUAAUUCAAAAUGACCAUUUUGAGGUGUAAUCUUGAAGAUUCAAUAAAUACUGAGAAUUUUUUUUUUUUUU
ensembl:lncRNA